CCCUUAGCAUGGGAGAGGUCUCCGGUUCGAUUCCGGACUCGUCCA
rnacentral:tRNA from 1 species